rnacentral:sRNA from 1 species
UUGACAGCUCUGGAAAAUGAGGUCCUCUCUUUACCCAAAGCAAAAAUCUAGCAUGAGCAGCAGCAAUGCCAGUUUCCCUAAACUGGCCUGCAAAACUUGCCUCGAUCUGGAUGGUCAGCCUGGGGGAGUAAUUGUCUUUGGCUUCUCUGCUGAUUCUCUCUU